UUUUUUUUUUUUUUUUUUUUUUGAGCUUUUUCUUCAGAGAGAAUCCUUUGAUUCCUGCAUUUUAUCUUACAGUUGUGUUCCUUCACUUGCAAUAUCCACAAGUAGUCAUUACUCCUCAAUGAUGAAGCCUACACUUUAAUUGCAUCAGGAAGGGGAAGAAGUCUUGCAGUAAAAUUUCAUUUGCUCUUAAUCAAGUGGAAAUAACUGUAGUAAAUUUGUAAGUAAGUGAAAGAUGUUACCGCAAGUUUUUUCUCGAUAGGAAAAACCAUGCCCCAAAUUGAAUUGGAUACAUGUAUCUCUAGAUAUUGUUUAUGUUAAAUAGGUUGCAGACGAAAGGGACCCCUGCUUGAAUUGAAGAAAAGUCUGAUGGCAGCCAGAAAUCAUGAAAAAUAUCCCUCUCAUUUCAAUCUCUACUGUUUAGUUUGACCCCUCUGC
rnacentral:lncRNA from 1 species